UAUCUACUCUGCAGAUUUUAGCAGAUGCAAUGGGGCUUGGAAAGACUGUCAUGAAAAUUUCUCUAAUACUUGCAAAUCCAAGGGGAAGAUCAUGAAACCAUGAUAUAGAAAUGGAGAAUCCUGAGGAAGAAUCAAAUUUUGUAAAGGGAGGAACCCUAAUUGUUUGUCCCAUGGCAUUACUUGGCCAAUGGAAGGAUGAGCUAGAGACCCAUUCACGGUGGCCUGGUUCGAUUUCUGUAUUCAUUCACUACGGUUGUGACAAAACAAAUGAUCCCAGAGAAAUUGCCAUUUAUGAUGUGGUCUUAACAACAUAUGGGGUUCUACAAUCAUCUUUUAAAUCUGUCUGGAUUAUUGACAUUCUUUUUUAUCUACUUCUAAUCUAUAUCCAGUUUUGGCCGUGAAUGACAAAGUUGUCUUCUAUCCAGAAUUCAAAUUCAAAGGCGAGCAUAUUUCAUAGAGUUAAUUGGUACAGAGUGGUACUAGAUGAAACACACACCAUCAAAUCUUUAAAAGCUCAAGUAGCCCAAUCAGCCUUUGCUCCGACUGCUUACUGCCGUUGGUGUCUUAUUGUUAUUAGCAGCCAGCGAGCUGAAACAUAGCAGCGUACUCUAUUCUAAUGAUCGGUCUUAUCAGGGAAAGGAACUAAGGUUGAAGCAACAAUACUUUUUCGUCUCAGCUUCUCUUCAAGACAUCAUUCGGAGAUAUAAAGAUUCUCACAAUAACUUGAUCAAUUUCCUGACAAGUACCUUGCAGGUGGCACUGCAACUGAAUGAUACUCACCCCUCCCUCGCAAUUCCUGAGCUUAUGAGGGUUCUUAUUGAUGAAGAACUUCUUAAAUGGCAAGAGGCGUGAGACAUCGCAUGCAAAGUCUUUUCCUUCACUGCCCACACAGUAGCUCCAGAAGGAUUAGAAAAAAAUCCCAGUUGAGCUGCUGAGUAACCUUCUUCCACGACAUUUGCAAGAAAUUAUUCAAGUGGGAGUAGAAGAUAACCUACAUGAUGGUCAAGAUUAGCUUACAUUAAUUUAUAGUUGUAGACAAUUUUGCAAGUGAUUUUAACACUAUGAAAUUGCAAGUGAUGUAAACACUAUGAAAGUAUGGUAUAAAUUUGUGUAGUUUGGCUGUGAAAGCUCUUCGGACAUAAUAUUUGUGUAUACUAUUUUGAGACCUAAUAGAAAUUUGUUGAUGUUUAAUUUUC